rnacentral:rRNA from 1 species
CAGCAGCCGCGGUAAUACGUAGGUCCCGAGCGUUGUCCGGAUUUAUUGGGCGUAAAGCGAGCGCAGGCGGUUUGAUAAGUCUGAAGUUAAAGGCUGUGGCUCAACCAUAGUUCGCUUUGGAAACUGUCAAACUUGAGUGCAGAAGGGGAGAGUGGAAUUCCAUGUGUAGCGGUGAAAUGCAUAGAUAUAUGGAGGAACACCGGUGGCGAAAGCGUCUCUCUGGUCUGUAACUGACGCUCAUGCACGAAAGCGUGGGGAGCAAACAGGAUUAGAGACCCCUGUAGUCCCUGUCUCUUAUACA